AGAGUUUGAUCCUGGCUCAGAUUGAACGCUGGCGGCAUGCCUUACACAUGCAAGUCGAACGGCAGCACGGGAGCAAUCCUGGUGGCGAGUGGCGAACGGGUGAGUAAUACAUCGGAACGUGCCCAGUUGUGGGGGAUAGCCCGGCGAAAGCCGGAUUAAUACCGCAUACGACCUACGGGUGAAAGCGGGGGAUCGCAAGACCUCGCGCAAUUGGAGCGGCCGAUGGCAGAUUAGCUUGUUGGUGGGGUAAAAGCCUACCAAGGCGACGAUCUGUAGCUGGUCUGAGAGGACGACCAGCCACACUGGGACUGAGACACGGCCCAGACUCCUACGGGAGGCAGCAGUGGGGAAUUUUGGACAAUGGGCGCAAGCCUGAUCCAGCCAUGCCGCGUGUGGGAAGAAGGCCUUCGGGUUGUAAACCACUUUUGUCAGGGAAGAAACGGUCUGAUCUAAUAAAUCGGACUAAUGACGGUACCUGAAGAAUAAGCACCGGCUAACUACGUGCCAGCAGCCGCGGUAAUACGUAGGGUGCAAGCGUUAAUCGGAAUUACUGGGCGUAAAGCGUGCGCAGGCGGCUAUGCAAGACAGAUGUGAAAUCCCCGGGCUCAACCUGGGAACUGCAUUUGUGACUGCAUGGCUAGAGUACGGCAGAGGGGGAUGGAAUUCCGCGUGUAGCAGUGAAAUGCGUAGAUAUGCGGAGGAACACCGAUGGCGAAGGCAAUCCCCUGGGCCUGUACUGACGCUCAUGCACGAAAGCGUGGGGAGCAAACAGGAUUAGAUACCCUGGUAGUCCACGCCCUAAACGAUGUCAACUGGUUGUUGGACGGCUUGCUGUUCAGUAACGAAGCUAACGCGUGAAGUUGACCGCCUGGGGAGUACGGCCGCAAGGUUGAAACUCAAAGGAAUUGGCGGGGACCCGCACAAGCGGUGGAUGAUGUGGUUUAAUUCGAUGCAACGCGAAAAACCUUACCUACCCUUGACAUGUCUAGAAGUUUCCAGAGAUGGAUUCGUGCUCGAAAGAGAACUAGAACACAGGUGCUGCAUGGCCGUCGUCAGCUCGUGUCGUGAGAUGUUGGGUUAAGUCCCGCAACGAGCGCAACCCUUAUCAUUAGUUGCUACGCAAGGGCACUCUAAUGAGACUGCCGGUGACAAACCGGAGGAAGGUGGGGAUGACGUCAGGUCAUCAUGGCCCUUAUGGGUAGGGCUACACACGUCAUACAAUGGCCGGUACAGAGGGCUGCCAACUCGCGAGAGGGAGCUAAUCUCAGAAAACCGGUCGUAGUCCGGAUCGCAGUCUGCAACUCGACUGCGUGAAGUCGGAAUCGCUAGUAAUCGCGGAUCAGCUUGCCGCGGUGAAUACGUUCCCGGGUCUUGUACACACCGCCCGUCACACCAUGGGAGCGGGUUCUGCCAGAAGUAGUUAGCCUAACCGCAAGGAGGGCGAUUACCACGGCAGGGUUCGUGACUGGGGUG
rnacentral:rRNA from 1 species